rnacentral:rRNA from 1 species
GAAUUGACGGGGGCCCGCACAAGCAGCGGAGCAUGUGGUUUAAUUCGAAGCAACGCGAAGAACCUUACCAGGGCUUGACAUCCACAGAAUCGAGUAGAAAUACUUGAGUGCCUCGUAAGAGGAGCUGUGAGACAGGUGGUGCAUGGUUGUCGUCAGCUCGUGUCGUGAGAUGUUGGGUUAAGUCCCGCAACGAGCGCAACCCCUGUUGGCAGUUACCAGCGUAAAGACGGGGACUCUACCGAGACUGCCGUGGAAAACACGGAGGAAGGCGGGGAUGACGUCAAAUCAUCAUGCCCUAUAUGCCCUGGGCUACACACGUGCUACAAUGGCCUGAACAGAGGGCAGCGAAGGAGCGAUCCGGAGCGAAUCCCAGAAAACAGGUCCCAGUUCAGAUUGCAGGCUGCAACCCGCCUGCAUGAAGACGGAGUUGCUAGUAAUCGCGGAUCAGCAUGCCGCGGUGGAUACGUUCCCGGGCCUUGUACACACCG